rnacentral:lncRNA from 1 species
CCUUUCCCCAGCAGCAGGACACUGUAUUGGGAGCGGAGACAGUCGGUCUCCCUCCACAGAGGAUGAAAGUAUGUAUGGGAGAGGAGCUUGCUACCACCUCUCCCCUGCGGUGGAUCAUUAAUGGGCAGGGAAUAGAGAGCUCAGUCUCCUUUCCCCAGUGGCAGAGUGUUCUAUCGGGAGAGGAGCCUGUUACCCCCUCUCCCCAGCGACAGCUUAGAGUAUCCAAAGGGGAGACAGUCGGUCUCCCCCUCCGGCAGC